CUAGCCUGGCAGUUGUCGUGCGCUGGAUCUCGACCCUCCACCCGUGUCGACUUGUAUUUUCGUUGCUUUGGCGGACCGGGCUCGCCCAUGGUCGCGUUUCGUGCGUGAGCAUGGCGUGCUGCCCACCGGCUUCGGCUGGGGCGCGUCCGCCAGAGACCUUUACAUCCAAACUCAUUGUUGUCCCCUGUAGUCUAAGGUUUAGAUUGAAGAAUUGAUAAA
rnacentral:misc_RNA from 1 species